GGUUGUUUGAAAACUGAUAGAGAAUGCAACCUGGGCUAUUGAAUUUGGUUGCAUUUUAAAUGUUUGUCAACAUCAGUUCAGGUCUUUGCUACAGGCUCUGUAGUCUCCAUGGGCACUGGGGAACAAGAGAGCUCAUUGCACCUGAAACCUUGGUGAUAAGAAAAGGCAAAUGCUGUGGGCACAGCUCUUCUCCUCUAUUCCCCAAACUCUUUCUUUCCUAUAGCUCUCUGCUGUUCUUACUUGGAGGCUGACAGUCCAAUCCUAUUCUCUGUCAUUUGUGUUUCCUUCCCUCUCUGUUGCUCACUCUAUCACAAGGCUGCAAAUACCUCUUUUGCUACCUCUCACUGUUCAUUGGGGUAUUUGGGCCUCUUCCAGCUGGGUUUUUUUAAUUGGAACAAGCUUGCCUGAGGGUAAAAAGAAGGAAAGGGAAGAAGAGGGAGCAAGUGGGGAGGAAGGUGUGGCUUGGAAGGGCACAGCACAGCUGGUAGGGGAAAAGUUUCCCUGCAAACAAGCAAGAGCAGAGCAAAAGAGAAUGGAAAAUGGAAAGGAACUAGAGACAGAUAUUUUACAGCAAGCCUGUUUCUUCUGGGUCAGGAUACAAGCUUUAAUUUAAGAUCAAGGAGGAAGAAAAGAAAUUUUAUGUUGAUGGAUCUUUAAAGGAAUGUCUGCCUGAACCCCAUUCAAAAGAAAAUUCAUGGAAUUAAGUGUGUUAUGGAUCAUUUUUGCAUCAUGGGAAAAACUUGGAGUUCCAGUUGGACCCUUACAAACUGUGUGUGCAAGGUUUAAAUCUAAUUUGCAACAUUGAUAUGGAUGAAUAUGUCAAAACAAAAGGACUCUUUCCAUCAUUGGACUUUAAUAUUUUGGAUAACCAAGGCCAAUGAGUGUCUGAAAAGAAUUAAUUCCUGUACAGCAUUCAACACAAUUUUGUCUGUGAAUACCAGUAAUAACAUUCUACUUCAUUUCUCCACUUCUGGGCACAGUUUGACUGGGAUUCUUUUUACCCCUCUUCGAUUUCUACAUUUUAAACCACUGUUUAUAUCAGCAGGUAAAUUUUCUUUUUCUUCUUUCUUCUUUUUCACUGCUCAUUUUUUUUUUUUCUAAAAUGUAUAAUGCUCUAUACUCACUCUAUAAUUUAAAUUGCUGUUUUCCAGCCUGGCUGAAGAAUGUCUGAAAGAGUUUGAAGUUCAAGGGGAUGUUUGUGUGUGUUUUGGCAGAUGUUAAGAAGUUUUUCAAAAAAUGAGUGCUGGUGUCUUACUAGAGGAAACUUCUGUCUUCCAACUGAGAACCUCUUGAGAGCUUAUUUGUUGCUCUACAUGCUCUGUCUGGUAUGGCAGUGAUACCUUUCACAUUUUAGAGAUUUCACUUUACGAGCACUGCUUCUUCUGUGAGCACUGCUUUUCUUCUUCUUUUCUUUUCUUUUUCUUUGAAGGGAAAUAAAAUUUAAGCAAACAUAACA
rnacentral:lncRNA from 1 species